rnacentral:rRNA from 1 species
GUACGUAGGGCGCAAGCGUUGUCCGGAAUUAUUGGGCGUAAAGAGCUCGUAGGCGGCCUGUCGCGUCUGCUGUGAAAUCCCGGGGCUUAACCCCGGGCGUGCAGUGGAUACGGGCUGGCUGGAGGCAGGCAGGGGAGAACGGAAUUCCCGGUGUAGCGGUGAAAUGCGCAGAUAUCGGGAGGAACACCGGUGGCGAAGGCGGUUCUCUGGGCCUGUACUGACGCUGAGGAGCGAAAGCGUGGGGAGCGAACAGG